GGCUGGUGUGAGGACAGUAGUGUUUACAACUAACUGAUCACAACCAGUUAUGAAUUUCUUUGUGCCUUUUCCACUCACACAGCUUCACUUGACUAGCUUUAA
ensembl:Y_RNA Y_RNA Y RNA